AUCACUGGCUCAGGAUGAACGCUAGCGACAGGCUUAACACAUGCAAGUCGAGGGGCAUCAUGAGGUAGCAAUACCUUGAUGGCGACCGGCGCACGGGUGAGUAACGCGUAUGCAACCUGCCCGAUACCGGGGUAUAGCCCAUGGAAACGUGGAUUAACACCCCAUAGUACUUUUAUCCUGCAUGGGAUGUGAGUUAAAUGUUCAAGGUAUCGGAUGGGCAUGCGUCCUAUUAG
rnacentral:rRNA from 1 species